GGUGAAGGGCGGCGCGCUUAGGCAGGCGGUGGCGCGGCUGGAGUGCCGCGGGGAGGGCUGUGCCGGUUGCUUUCUGCAGCCGCAUCUCGGCCAGCUCUCCUCGCCGUCCCCGGGGCGCUGUGCGUCUCCAGUCCGGGACCGAAGCCGCCUGCCGUAGCGGGCGGCCAGAUCCGCGUCCCGCCUCAGCGGCCGGAGGACAUGCGGGAGAGAGAAUGAGCCAGAGGGACACGCUGGUGCAUCUGUUUGCCGGAGGAUGUGGUGGUACAGUGGGAGCUAUUCUGACAUGUCCACUGGAAGUUGUAAAAACACGACUGCAGUCAUCUUCUGUGACGCUUUAUAUUUCUGAAGUUCAGCUGAACACCAUGGCUGGAGCCAGUGUCAACCGAGUAGUGUCUCCCGGACCUCUUCAUUGCCUAAAGUGAGAGCAUAGUAUUCAGGAGUGUUUUUUAGUUUGUUUGCGUUAGUGAGUUCCAGAUGUUUGUUUACUUAUAUUCUGCCACAUUGAAAAUGAUUUUUUAUAAACCUAUUUACAGAAGUUACUCUGAAUUGUACUCAUAAGGAAUGAUAAUCCCUAAUGGAGAAGAACAGUUAGACAGAUAAGAUAAAGUGUAAUUUUACUUCCAAAUCAUGUGUAUUUAGAAUAUUUCUACAUUUAUCCAGUGGAGUUUUUUCUAAAGCUAUUAUAAGUAUUUUAUUUUGGAUUAUUCAUUUACUUUUGAAAUGUGAUAAUGUUUAAUGCUAACUCCUUUCGUGUAUAUUUUUAAUGUUCCAAGUAAGUACAUCCAAUUAAUGAUAA
rnacentral:lncRNA from 1 species